AUUGAACGCUGGCGGCAGGCCCAACACAUGCAAGUCGAACGAGUGGCGGACGGGUGAGUAAUGUCUGGGAAACUGCCCGAUGGAGGGGGAUAACUACUGGAAACGGUAGCUAAUACCGCAUACCAUCGGAUGUGCCCAGAUGGGAUUAGCUUGUAGGUGAGGUAACGGCUCACCUAGGCGACGAUCCCUAGCUGGUCUGAGAGGAUGACCAGCUCAGCUGGAACUUAGACACGGUCCAGUCUCCUACGGGAUGCGUCAUGUGGGAAUAUUGACCAAUUGUCGUGAGCCUGAUGCAGCCAUGCCGCGGAUAUGAAGAAGGCUUUCGGGUUUUAAAGUCCUUUCAGCGGGGCGCCUUUACCCUCAUAAGAAGCACCGGCUAACCCCGUUCCCGCAGCCGCGGUAAUAC
rnacentral:rRNA from 1 species